GAUGAACGCUGGCGGCGUGCCUAAUACAUGCAAGUCGAGCGAACAGACGAGGAGCUUGCUCCUCUGACGUUAGCGGCGGACGUGUGAGUAACACGUGGAGAACCUACCUAUAAGACUGGGAUAACUUCGGGAAACCGGAGCUAAUACCGGAUAAUAUAUUGAACCGCAGGGUUCAAUAGUGAAAGACGGUUUUGCUGUCACUUAUAGAUGGAUCCGCGCCGCAUUAGCUAGGUGGUAAGGUAACGGCUUACGAAGGCAGCGAUGCGUAGCCGACCCGAGAGGGUGAUCCGCCACAGUGGAACUGAGACACGGCACAGAGUCCUACGGGAGGCAGAAGCAGCGACGGUUGCGAAAUGGGCGAAAGAUUGAAGGAGCAACGGCGGGCGAGUGCUGCAGGUCUUCGGAUCGUAAAACGGUGUUAUUAGUGAAGAACAAAUGUGGAAGUAACUAUGCACGUCUUGACGGUACCUACUCAGAAAGCAACGGCUAACUACGUG
rnacentral:rRNA from 1 species